GCGACUGCGGAGGACAUUA
rnacentral:rRNA from 1 species